rnacentral:rRNA from 1 species
UACGUAGGGUGCGAGCGUUGUCCGGAAUUAUUGGGCGUAAAGAGCUCGUAGGCGGUUUGUUGCGUCGGCUGUGAAAACCUGCGGCUUAACUGUGGGCUUGCAGUCGAUACGGGCAGACUUGAGUUCGGCAGGGGAGACUGGAAUUCCUGGUGUAGCGGUGAAAUGCGCAGAUAUCAGGAAGAACACCCGUGGCUAAGGCGGCUCUCUAGUACGGUACUGACGCUGAGACGCAAAAGCGUGGGGAGCGAACAGG